AUGGAGUCAAGCAGCCACAUGUCUAGGUUGCAGCCUCAGCUGAGGACCCAAACAACAUCUAGCAUUGACCACCUCUGAGAUGACUCUAGCACCAGUCAUCAUCCAACUGCAUCUAUGUGAGAAAUCCAAAGCAGGAACCUUGGGUGAAAUCUGUUCCUGACCCGCUGCCACUGAACCUGUCUGAGAUCCCAGAGUCCCGGUUGGAAACUGAAUAGAUCAGGAACUUUGGAGACUGGCCCGGCUUCUGCAGCUCACCCGUUUAAUAACUGGACAAAGGAAGACAACAGUUCCAUUGCAUCCAGAGCACUGUCUGCCUUGAAAGAAUCACCUGACAGGCCUCUCUGACUUAUGGAGACAACACAUUCCACCUCGAGGAGUCCUGGUCUGGUCCUCGUACCAGGUGAAAUAUAAUUCAGCCAGCUUUGAUGGGGCCCAGAGCAGCAAAGAGCUCUGCACCAGGUGCAGCCUGCCAUGUCAACAGCCCUGUCACUAGGGCCCCUGAAGACACAGAAGAUUUAACAACAUUAACCACCUGGACAUCACUGACGCUUAGAGACACUCCACUGAAUAUCAGUAAAAUACAUAUUCCUUUCAGAACAUUUGCUAAGAUAGACCACAUUGUGGGCCGCGAGGACUCAGAGAUGACAUUGUUUGUAUUGCGGACAGUAGAACCAUUGACAAAAUCAUUUGCAAGAUGACCAAGAAGAUACUUGUCACAUCCAAACUGAAGAACAAGACACUUUCUUAGAACCUUAGAAGAUGAACUGUGUGUUGGAAGCAAGUACGCAAAAGCCCUUGGGGAUAACAUUGGGUACUUGUAUUGACUAAUUGGCUCUGUGGCUGUUAAAUCUUCUGGAGAUGGCAGAGAGUUAUAAUUUAAUCUCAAAAACACAAAAUAAUAUGAAAAUUGUAUUUCUUUAUUCAACAAAUAUUUUCUUGUACCUUGCAAGACCUUGUAAGGAAUAUGUGAGAUGGUGAAUUCCUUGUCACGGGAAGAUGCUAAAUUUUACAGUGAUAGAUCCAAACACAAGCAGAGACAGUGAUUCAUGGUAGAUAGUCAAUAUAUAUUUGUUUGAUAAAUGGAUAAAAAAAUAAAUGGAUUAAUACAGGAA
rnacentral:lncRNA from 1 species